rnacentral:rRNA from 1 species
CCUGAGAAACCCAAAAGAUCGAAUGGGGAGAUUCAGCGUCAGCUUAUUUUGUAUAUAUCCAAGCUAUGAUAUGGGUUACUGCUUGUGCAUCNCUUGUGGGUGUCUGGCUGGUAUUGCCCGUACAUUCUUGUUUAUUUUAUUGCAAAAUACUGGUCGGCGUGCAUUUCUCCCCUAGUAGAACGUCGCGACCCGUUGAGUGUUGAUCUACGGCCCGAGUUGGUAGAUUUUUAUAUGAUUUUUGUCAAAGGAAAUUGUGUAGAAAACCNCUUGGUGUACAUAAUCCUGAUUAACGCUCGGCGGUAAUUCAAAACAUAUAUGGUAUUAAGCCGCAUAAAUAUCUAACUUAUGCGUCCGUAGCCNUUGCAAGCAUGAUUAAUUAUUAAUAGUACGGACUCUGUUGCCGUCGUUGAUAUUAAUCGGCUGUUGGUUUAAUGGAAUUCUA